rnacentral:lncRNA from 1 species
GAUUCUGCGAUCCUUCUGCAAUGACGCCAGGACUCCCUGGAAUGGGAGUAUCUUCUACUUGCCAGGCACAAGGAGUAGAGACAACAUUCUCAGCAAAGAAGCUAGCGAGUGCCUCUCUGCACAGGGACAGAAGAACUGGAAGAGAUGGCACUCACCACACUGGCUCUCAGCAGCCACGUCCACGUUAUGAGAGCUGCCAGGCUAGCCCGUUAUCACUUGCACACGUGUCAGGACAUCCUACGUGGUAGUAUUAAUUUUGCUCUGAACACAGGACUAGCAAGCCUCUCACCGCUGCUCAGCUGAACUCCACGUGGGAGCAGCCCACGAUGCCCCCGGAAGGCAUCACUCACCAUGGCCUGAAUGUGAGGG